CAAAGCUGCUUGCUAUAUUUGCAUUUGGCUCUGAGCUGACCCCAACCUCAAGUGUUACCUCUUGGUCAUCCACCACUUUCUGAAUAAAUUAUAUUCAGUGGUCCAAGUUCAGAUGACGAGGGAAGGGAAUCUGAUGGAUCCAGCUUGGGUCCAGUAUCCAGGCCUGGUUCAAUUAGUGUCAUCAGGGGUCAGUGCCAUUUAACACACUUUGCCCACCCUCUGUGGAUGGGCAGGAGUGGGUAGAGUCCUGUAGGGUAAGGACAGGGAGACAGCCUUGGUAAAAGUUCAUUUAACAAGGAUGGAUUGCAUAACUGGUUUCAUCAUUGUUAGUAGCAGUAGUCUCUCUAUAAAUCUUAUAAAUCACUUAUAUUGAAAAAAGUCAUCAAGCAUGACUCAAAUAACUUCAGCAGAAAACAGUCACCCUAAUAAAGUCAUUUAAUUAUAUAUGUCUAUAUAUUCUGAAUAUUCAGCGAAGUGGAUUAUGCCACCGGCUGAGUGUAUCCAGAGUGAUGCUUGACAGCUCCUUUUAUUGCUAAUGGCUCACAGAGUUUAUGCCCUUUAGGAAGUGCCAGAAUCAUUAGUACUGUCACUGAAAUGUGCUGUUAAUGUAAAUUCUACUCAGAAAAAUGGAACAGCAAUUGCAAAACCAGCAGCUGGAGAAUGGGCAGCCCAGUGAGGAAAGAUCAAUGGGAGAAAGGCUUGUAACUUUCUCCCAUUUUCUAGAAAUUUGUGACUUUCUAGAAAACGAAGCCAGUCUCAACAGUGCCUCCAAGGACCUGAAGCUUCUCCAAGUGCUGUUUUGAAUGGGAAGGCAGGAGUCGGAACUGGCCAUCCAGGACUGUCUACAUGGCCUCUCUCUCUUCUCAUCUUCCUCUAAGAAAUUUCUCCAGUUUUUCAAUCUUGACCUCUCAGAAAAAAGAGAUUCUGAUCUUGUGAACUGAUGCUGCAUGUUGAAUGAGUUUUCAUCCUGCAUGAUACUUCAUGGAUUUAUUUGCAUUUUAAUUAUUCUUUUAUACAAAAGAGCCAUAGAAAAGAAAAGUCUGACCCAAGUUUUGUCAAGAUAAAGCAGAGUAUGGGAAGUGGGCAACUGUGAGAACUUGGUUAGAGCCAGUCUGUAUAGUUUAGUAUUUAAUGGGGAAGUUUGGGGUGUGGGAAAUGGGACCUAUUUCCUUUGCUCUUGAGGUUAGGUUGAGCCAUCUGGCUCCCUGCCCUGCAGUUCCCAUAACUGAAGAGUUAUACAUCCCAUAACCCCUGCCCACUAGUGAACCCCUUCCUCAGCUCUGGGACUGAUUGUCUUCAAGCUGAGCACACACUGAGCACUGGGCCUGCCUUCUUCCUAACACAGGUUUUUGUAAGCUCCAGACAUUGGAUAAAGCAUUUUGAGGGAUAGGUGAAAACGAAAUCCUGCCCUUUACUCUUGAGAACUCACUCUGCUGUGGGAGGAGAGACAGGCAGCAUUCUGACCACAAUGCCAGAAGACAAUACGGAAUUACUCAGUACAUGAAGCACCAGGAAGAUGACAACAGAAGAGAGAGGACCCAGACAUUGGAAUCAGCAGAGUUGGGGUUUCGCCAUGUUGACCAGGCUGGUUUUGAACUCCUGGCCUCAAGCAAUUCACUGGCCUUGGCAUCCCAAAGUACUGGAAUUACACCUGGCUAAGCCUCUUCUAUUUAAAAAUAGAAAUAAAAGAAAAAAAAAACAGAUCAAAACCAAAAGUUAUAGUGAGAGUGGACAAGCCCUGGACAACAGCAGGCAUGAGGACUUACAGCCCACAUGCUCAGCCACCAGGUGCAAUCUCCAACAUGUGCGGGCUUUGGGAAAACACAAUCGGGCAAGUGAAGUUUGUUGCAGACAAGUUCUUCUUCCCCUCUGCCACAACCUCCUCCAAGGUUACAGGGAGAGCACCCUGUCUGUGAAGAAGCAGGUUCUCAUCUGAUACCAAAUCUGCUGGCACCUUGAUCUUGGACUUCCCAGACUCCAGGACUGAAGAUCACAGAUUGACAUCAGCAGGAAAACUUGCCAGGCAGCAGGAGGAUCCAUUUGAAAACUCACGAGAAAAAGGCCCUUGAGGCCUUUUUCCUGGUUAUUGAAGACAUCUUAGGAAACACUUAUGGUGACAAUUAAUCAAGCAAAAAUAGAUCCAGUUUUUCUGAAGAUCAAGCUUAACAUGUGUGCCAUGCUUUAAAAUGUCUUUCCAGGCACUCUCUCCUGCCCACGGAUCUUGCUUGGGAAAGGAAUGGGGCAAGUGGAAAUGGCCAUUUCUUAGAUGAACACAUCAGGGACUUGCUCCAGUCUGAAGUCUAUACAGAGCUAGGCUUUGAAUCCAGUCACGUAACUGCAUAGCAGCAAAUCAGCCUUUCAGAAUAUUGCAGGAUCAGCAAUGAAAUUCCCUUUGCCAGAGAAAUGGACAAACAAGGAAGCAACAAUGGUGAUGGUGGAAGUGUUCUUCAAGUCUAAGUUUGGGUUCUAGAAACAUCUGGCCAAAUAACGUCUUUCACAACUAAAAUAGAAUAUAAAGAAGCCAUUUGACCUGCCUCAGUUAUCAUGGUCAUCAUGACAAGCUGCAGCAGGACAAAUCAGCUUAACAAUUUCGGAAACUGCCAGAAAUGCUAUUUGGAUUAAUUUUUAUUUGGGAGUUGGCUAAAACUGGUCACAUCCCCAAAUACCUCAAGAUAAACAACAUAGCAUUAUCAUACAAAUCUAUAUUCACCAAAUUAGGUUAAAAUAGGCUGUUUUGAGAAGGUUGAAUUUUUUUAUGGGGAUUAUUCCCAAAAUACGUUUAGACACAAGAAGUUCAACUUUUCUUUUUUCCAUAUUUGAUGUCAAUCAAACUAAUUACUACAUGUUUGGAAUUGCAUUAAUUGUAUUCUUCAGUUACCUAUAAAAUUUAAUUAUCAUGUCUUUAUGGAAAUUUUAAUAUCAGAUAUAAAGAAUGGCAUAUUUAAAAUGACAUUUUAAUACUUUAUAAGAAGCAACAGAAAUUCGACUUCCAAAGCACCUCUCAGUACUACCAUUGGAGUACAUCUAUAUUUUUCUGUCAGAAUACUAUCCAAAGCAAGCAUAAGUAAUCCUUAUUUUCACGAUACAUUGAUGCUCAAAAGUUGUGUGUUCAGCAUGUCUACAAAGUAAAUUACCGUAUAUUUGAAACAGCAGACUAAAACUGAAGUAACAUCUGGAAAAAAUUGCCCUAAUUGCUAGCCCCUAAAUUCAUCUGACCUUGACACUCUCAUCUGAAUUUAAAAGUGUUUUAAAUUCUUAGCCAAUCAAUUCAAGCCAGAACUGAAUUCAUAUGUCUUCAGAAACUGCUAAUCUAGAACAAUGUAACUAGAAUAGAUUCCUGAUCAAACUUUGGUUUUGUUCAGGUAUCCACUCAUUUCCUAGGUGACCCAGAGGCCACAACUCACAACUCCACCCCUUCCCGUGGCUGGUCCAGGCUGUGCAGAUCUUGUAGUCACAAAGUCCUGGCAAUGGGCUGGGGGUGGGAUCUGACCUAGUGCUGACCAACAUGUCAAAAACAGAUGGCUGCAGAACCCUCUGGAAAAGCUUCCCUCAUUCUUAAGGAAUCCUGUGAAGAGAUGGUCUGUUUCUGUCCUGUUCCCUGGAUGUCAAAUGUCUGGGUUUGAGACCCAGAACUCCUGAAGCCAUCUCACAACUACAAGGGGAGCAGAUGUAGCCACUGAGGAUGGCCAAGCAGAGGGAGGGAGGACCUUUCCUGCCAGCAUCGCCAGCGGCUGAAUCACAGCCCAGAACCCCACAGCACCCUAAACGUCCUCUUAACAAAUGUAAUACGUUGUCUUACUGUUUGUGCCUGUGUGAAAAGUCCUCUUUGCUUGCAGUGAAGGCAUCCUAGUUGAUAAACAUGAAAUUUGAAAAUUGGAGAUUUCUUGGAACCAAC
rnacentral:lncRNA from 1 species